rnacentral:lncRNA from 1 species
AGAUAUUUGCAGAGUCUGCCGGAGGGAGACAGCAGAUUACAUGCACAUCUUGUGGGACUGCAUCAAACACCCAGAGGAUGCAAGAUCAAGGAC